GAUUCCUGUUGUAGUCGAGCCAUGCAGUCCUGCAGUUCAGCUCUCUGUGUCCUGAUCUUACUGAUCACCACAUUCACUGCUGUGUAUGUGUCAGCUGUUCCUCUAGUGAGGGUGAAGCUUCAUGACUCUGCUACUCUGCCCUGCUCUGAGACAUGUUCUGGUUUGGUCAGAUGGACUGAGUUCCAUAAUCCCACUGAUGUUCUGGCUGAGUGUGAUCAGACCUCAUGUAGAUCAGUGAAGGAGGGAUAUCAGAUGAUCCAUGAUCAGUACCUGAAGGGAGAUUUCUCUCUCACCAUCACUGACGCUGAUUACAGUAUGAUGGGCACGUACACAUGUGAGUGCGGUAAUUCUGAACUCUGUGAUGUGCGGCUUCAGGUUGAGGGUAGGUCUUCCUCUGUUUUCUUCUCUGACUGUUAUUAACAGUCUCCAGUGAUUUAGAUGCAGUAAAUUAUAUCAGAUCUGCACUCAAUAAAGUUCUUCUUUCUCUUUUUUCCUCACCCUCACUGUCUCUGAAUUCAGAAACACCAGAGGCAGGGAACAAUAUUUCUGGCAGCAGUCAUACUAAAGGAACGUCCCACGUGUAUGUGUCAGCUGUUCCUCUAGUGAAGGUGAAGCUUCAUGACUCUGCUACUCUGCCCUGCUCUGAGACAUGUUCUGGUUUGGUCAGAUGGACUGAGUUCCAUAAUCCCACUGAUGUUCUGGCUGAGUGUGAUCAGACUUCAUGUAGAUCAGUGAAGGAGGGAUAUCAGAUGAUCCAUGAUCAGUACCUGAAGGGAGAUCUCUCUCUCACCAUCACUGACGCUGAUUACAGUAUGAUGGGCACGUACACAUGUGAGUGCGGUAAUUCUGAACUCUGUGAUGUGCGGCUUCAGGUUGAGGAAACACCAGAGGCAGGGAACAAUAUUUCUGGCAGCAGUCAUACUAAAGGAACGUCCCACGUGUAUGUGUCAGCUGUUCCUCUAGUGAGGGUGAAGCUUCAUGACUCUGCUACUCUGCCCUGCUCUGAGACAUGUUCUGGUUUGGUCAGAUGGACUGAGUUCCAUAAUCCCACUGAUGUUCUGGCUGAGUGUGAUCAGACCUCAUGUAGAUCAGUGAAGGAGGGAUAUCAGAUGAUCCAUGAUCAGUACCUGAAGGGAGAUUUCUCUCUCACCAUCACUGACGCUGAUUACAGUAUGAUGGGCACGUACACAUGUGAGUGCGGUAAUUCUGAACUCUGUGAUGUGCGGCUUCAGGUUGAGGAAACACCAGAGGCAGGGAACAAUAUUUCUGGCAGCAGUCAUACUAAAGGAACGUCCCACGGUAAGAUCUGUCCAGUUACAAAACACUAGCAGGGCCAGUUCUAGCAUUUUUGGGAGGCCUAGGCAGGUUUUUUUUUUUUUUUUGUGGGGGGGGGGGGGCGGGGGUAUCUUGCUUGCUGAUGCACUGUAAAAGUGGAAGCUAACUCAUAACAACGAUUACCACCAGCUGUGUAAAUUACGUACAUUUGUAAGUAGCUAAUUGUGUAAUUCUGAUUACUGGAUGCUAGUUUGGGGUUUUAAUAUGUUACCAUUUAAAUUACAGCUAACCUUCUAAAGAUUUAGAGCCAGUAAUUCUCAGUCUGUAAACAGUUUUACAGCCCAUCUUGUUUGCUGAACUGUAUUCUAAUCGUGUUGUUGUCCACUUGCUCAGGAUCAGUACAGCAGGUUGGGAAUCUGGUGUGGUUCUGUGGCCACUUUUCUUCAGUAUCUGAUUAAACGGACCUAAUUUCAAAUACUAUCUCAUAAAAGUCAUCUAACGUGUCAGUUUUAUGUUUUUCAUUGUACUAAAGUGGAAACUUAGUAACCUAAUAAUUACCUGCAGCGUAAAGACACUUCAAAU
ensembl:lncRNA